CUACCACAUAUCCUGGGAAACUAUUCUGCAGGCUAAUAGGUAUUGCUGCCUGGAACAUUCAACUUAAACUUUCCCACUGAAUUUCAUCCCUUUUCUCUUGUUUCUUAACUGUCACUUUGGAAAACCUGGGUACUUGAGAUCUUCUAUAAAAUUCAAAAUAUGCAGUUCGCACAGGGCAGAAAGUGAGACUCCUGUAUUUUUUGAGAAUAUGAUGCACACACACACACAUUACAAGUACUAGAACUAUUUCCUCUAUUUUAACACUUUCUGUUCUUAAAACCGAUCCAAAGAAACUGCAGCAGCUUGAAAACAAGUAAUGUUUCUGGCCACUGUGUGGAGAGGACAUUAUAUUUAAAAAAAGUAGCUGUUUUACUGUCUGUUAAAACUGUGUCCAGUCUGUCCAAAUUGGCAUUAGCUAUUACAACAACAUAAUGAGAAAGAUUUCAAAGAACAAACAACUUCCUAUGGGAUGGAAUAAGAAUAUUUCCCUCCCUCUGUACCCUGCUGUGAGACCACCUCCCCAAUGGCGACUCCUUGGCAUCUUUAUUCCCUCGAUAAAUCUUGAUGCUAACGUAGAAAAUUAACCCAUUUUGGACGGAAACACUGCAGGACCUGAGAAUUUUUGUCGCACAGAUUAGGUCCUUACAGUUAGCGGACCUUUUCCUCUCAGUGGGACAGCGCUUCCCACUCCAGACCCCAUGCAUGAUUCAGCUUCAUAAGACACAAGUGGACUGUGUGGAAUGGGAGGAAGCCUAGGGCGGUAUCGGACCUGUUACCAGAUGAUCUACAUGGAUCCUAUCUGUGAUAGAAAAGUUACAAGAGGAACCUUGUGAAGGUGCAGAGAACUCACAGCUCCCCUUGGCUUCCACUGGAGUUGUUGGUGCUCAGCAGUUCUGGGAAUAAUGCCCAAGAUAUCUCAAGAUGGAGAUCCAAAAAUCCAAACACCCCCAAUUUCUGUCUACUUUUGAAAACUUCAGCCUCAGUGACUUGCCAGGCACUUUAUUUAACUGCUGCAUUCACCUUCUAUCUAUAAUAAUUCUUGUUUGCCUAGAUUGAAUGUAGCCAUUGUGGUUUCUAAACUGUAGUUGCUGUUGUUUUAGGGUUACUACACUUUGUCCUUGGUAGUUUUAAUCUUUGAGCAGCCAGAUGGCUGCUCUCAUUUUAUGUCAUGACACUAUUAUAACUAUUAUUACACUGUUAUUAUUGAUCAUCAUAAUCAAAAAUAAAGGAAGUAAUUACAAUAUGCAAUUAAAGUAUAUUGAAGACCAGGGGUGAAAUCCUGGCCUCACUGAAGUCAAUGGGAGUUUUGCUAUUAAUUUCAGUGGGGCCAGGAUUUCAGUGUUAUGAUUGUUCUCAUUUAGAUGGACUCAGAAAUAUUCUUCUUGCUUGUACUGGUGGAAUAAAUUUAUAAUCAAGUAUUUAAUCAAGUCAAGUAAUAUAAGAUUAUCUUUAACAAGAUCCUUUCCUUUCAUUCCUGCUGGCAAUCUUAGCACUUAU